rnacentral:rRNA from 1 species
UACGUAGGGUGCAAGCGUUGUCCGGAAUUAUUGGGCGUAGAGAGCUCGUAGGCGGUCUGUCGCGUCGGAUGUGAAAAUCCAGGGCUCAACCCUGGACCUGCAUUCGAUACGGGCAGACUAGAGUUCGGCAGGGGAGACUGGAAUUCCUGGUGUAGCGGUGAAAUGCGCAGAUAUCAGGAAGAACACCCGUGGCGAAGGCGGCUCUCUGGGACGGUACUGACGCUGAGACGCGAAAGCGUGGGGAGCGAACAGG